rnacentral:sRNA from 1 species
AUUUAGCCCCGAUAGCAGUGGAAAUCCUUAGCUAUUAAAUGCUAAUUUAAUAGCUAAGAUUGCAACGGAUAGCGGGACAAAAG